UGGGGAAUAUUGCACAAUGGGCGCAAGCCUGAUGCAGCCAUGCCGCGUGUGUGAAGAAGGCCUUCGGGUUGUAAAGCACUUUCAGCGGGGAGGAAGGCGUUAAGGUUAAUAACCUUGGCGAUUGACGUUACCCGCAGAAGAAGCACCGGCUAACUCCGUGCCAGCAGCCGCGGUAAUACGGAGGGUGCAAGCGUUAAUCGGAAUUACUGGGCGUAAAGCGCACGCAGGCGGUCUGUCAAGUCGGAUGUGAAAUCCCCGGGCUCAACCUGGGAACUGCAUUCGAAACUGGCAGGCUAGAGUCUUGUAGAGGGGGGUAGAAUUCCAGGUGUAGCAGUGAAAUGCGUAGAGAUCUGGAGGAAUACCGGUGGCGAAGGCGGCCCCCUGGACAAAGACUGACGCUCAGGUGCGAAAGCGUGGGGAGCAAACAG
rnacentral:rRNA from 1 species